GACGAACGCUGGCGGCGUGCCUAAUACAUGCAAGUCGAACGCAGUGGGGACGGGUGAGUCACACGUGGGUAACCUCCCAUCAGAGGGGAUAACACUUGGAAACAGGUGCUAAACCGAUCCUUCUGGCUGGCACCGGGGUGCCUUAGUUAGUUGGUGGGGUACCGGCUCACCAAGGCCACGAUGCAUAUACGACCUGGGAGGGUGAUUGGCCACACGGGGACUGAGACACGGCCCAGACUCCUCCGGGAGGCAGCAGUAGGGAAUCUUCGGCAAUGGACGAAAGUCUGACCGAGCAACGCCGCUUGAGUGAAGAAGGUUUUCGGAUCGUAAAACUCUGUUGUUAGAGAAGCGGUAUCUAACCAGAAAGCCACGGCUAACUACGUGCCAGCAGCCGCGGUAAUAC
rnacentral:rRNA from 1 species